rnacentral:rRNA from 1 species
UGGGGAAUUUUGGACAAUGGGCGAAAGCCUGAUCCAGCAAUGCCGCGUGUGUGAAGAAGGCCUUCGGGUUGUAAAGCACUUUUGUCCGGAAAGAAAUCCUUGGCUCUAAUACAGUCGGGGGAUGACGGUACCGGAAGAAUAAGCACCGGCUAACUACGUGCCAGCAGCCACGGUAAUACGUAGGGUGCAAGCGUUAAUCGGAAUUACUGGGCGUAAAGCGUGCGCAGGCGGUUUGCUAAGACCGAUGUGAAAUCCCCGGGCUCAACCUGGGAACUGCAUUGGUGACUGGCAGGCUAGAGUAUGGCAGAGGGGGGUAGAAUUCCACGUGUAGCAGUGAAAUGCGUAGAGAUGUGGAGGAAUACCGAUGGCGAAGGCAGCCCCCUGGGCCAAUACUGACGCUCAUGCACGAAAGCGUGGGGAGCAAACAGGAUUAGAUACCCUGGUAGUCCACGCCCUAAACGAUGUCAACUAGUUGUUGGGGAUUCAUUUCCUUAGUAACGUAGCUAACGCGUGAAGUUGACCGCCUGGGGAGUACGGUCGCAAGAUUAAAACUUAAAGGAAUUGACGGGGUCAUAGCUGUUUCCU